rnacentral:rRNA from 1 species
GAUGAACGCUAGCGACAGGCUUAAUACAUGCAGGUCGAGGGGCAGCACAGGUAGCAAUACUGGGUGGCGACCGGCAAACGGGUGCGGAACACGUACACAACUUACCUUAGAGUGGGGGAUAGCCCAGGGAAACUUGGAUUAAUACCCCAUAAAACAGGGGGCCCGCAUGGGCAUAUUGUUAAAGAUUUAUCGCUUUAAGAUGGGUGUGCGUAUGAUUAGGUAGUUGGUAGGGUAAAGGCCUACCAAGCCGACGAUCAUUAACUGGUGUGAGAGCACGACCAGUCACACGGGCACUGGGACACGGGCCCGACUCCUACGGGAGGCAGCAGUAAGGAAUAUUGGUCAAUGGACGGAAGUCUGAACCAGCCAUGCCGCGUGAAGGAUGAAGGUCCUCUGGAUUGUAAACUUCUUUUAUAGGGGGCGAAAAAGGGCCAUUCUUGGUCAACUGACGGUACCCUAUGAAUAAGCACCGGCUAACUCCGUGCCAGCCGCCGCGGUAACAC